AUGGCGCGCCUCCACCGCCUUCUCUCCCGCGCGCUCGCCUCCAACCACCUCCUCCGCCCUUCUCCGGCCCCAUUUUCAGCGCGCCUGACUCUCCCGCUCCACUCGCAGCCGCCGGCGCCGCCGCGUCCUCACCCCCAUGGUCGCAGCCCGCCCCCUUUCCUCGCCGCCGCCUCGCGGCACUACGCGUCACCCAUAUCCAGACGACGGCGGCGCGGCUCGUUGCCGUCGAUGUUUCCGAGGCGGAGGAGAGCCAGGUUGAAGGGCCCCGCCGAGCUCAGCGUGCAGAUUGGCAUCGAAGAAGCCCUCCCCGACGACCCCCUCGUCCUGAGUAUUGCAGAAACACUUCGAACGGAUGUUGGGAAGGCAAUGAAGCUGGCAUUCCACAAUUUGGGGAACUCGGAGUACAAGACCAGAGACCCCUGCAUAAGCAAUGUGGAUGAGUACGACAGCGUUGAGGUAUCUCUGCUGCUUUGUGAUGAUGAUUUUAUCAGGAAGCUGAACAAGGAAUGGAGGGGUGAAGACCGCGCGACGGAUGUUCUGUCAAUGUCGCAGCAUAUCCCGGGGCUCCAAAUUCCCGUUCUGCAACUAGGUGACUUGGUAAUUUCUGUUGAGACAGCCCGACGGCAAGCAGAAGAAAGAGGCCAUACACUUCUUGAUGAGAUAAGAAUUCUCAUGGUUCAUGGAUUGUUGCAUUUAUUGGGCUUUGAUCAUGAACUCAGCAAGGAGGCUGAAGAAGAGAUGGAGCAGGAAGAAGAAAAAAUAUUAAAUACUCUUGAAUGGAUAGGAAAAGGACUCAUUAGGAGUGCGUAUCAUUUCAGUACUGAUAUGGGUCAUUCAGAAAAUUCUGAUGAGGCCAAUAGAGAUAUAGAGAAAAGGAGUUUACAGGAGGGUCAUCAGCCGAAACUGACCCAUAUAAUAUGUGAUAUAGAUGGUACUGUUGUGGAUUAUGAAGGACACCUGCGUUCAGAGUCAAUAGAAUCUUUGAGAGAGGCAGUAUCACGGGGAGUAACUGUUAUCAUGCUUACUGGCAAGACCCGUGCUUCCACCAUAGCAACCUUCAAGCUUCUUAAUAUGGAAGGAAGAGGUGAUUUUAUAUCGGAGAAUUCAGCUGGUGUAUUUCUACAGGGUUCGCUUGUAUAUGGGGAGCAUGGCCAACUUAUUUAUAGAGCAAACUUGGAUGUGGAUAUAUGCAAGGAGGCAUGUUUGUACUCCUUGAAGCAUAAAAUUCCUCUUGUUGCAUACUGUGAGGAACAAUGUUUGACCUUGUUUGAACAUCCUUCUGUCAACUUGUUGCACACUGUGCACCAUGAGACCAAGGUAAAAGUGAUGCCUUCAGUUGAGGACCUCUUGGAAUAUUCAUCGAUUCAGAAGUUGCUUUUCCUUGGCAACAAGAACGAAGAUUUUUCUGUCCUCACACAGCAUUGGUCGGAACUAACAGAAGGGAAAGCAUGUGUUAUCAAAGAGCAGCCAAAUGCAAUUGAGAUUGUUCCCCUUAAUGCUUCAAAAGGUGGUGGUAUAAGGGCUCUACUUGAUCAUCUCGGAUUAACUGAAGAUUCUGAUCUUGAGGCGGUCGGAGACUAUACCAGAUGGCUAAGCAACAAGUGA
rnacentral:rRNA from 1 species